rnacentral:sRNA from 1 species
UAAUUCUAUAAGAGGAGAGUCCUGCCACCUUAGUCCUCAGUGGGGACGGCUAGUUGUGCAUGUGCUUCACGUGCAGGGUGUUCCAGGGCUCCUGAAAACUGUGAUUGCCUUUACUCCCUAGAUUCAGCUGUGUCUCCUCCAGUCCGGGAUGUUGGUAUGAAUUCCCCAGCUCUGGUCCUCCCCAGCUCUGCUUCCUCUACUCCUGGCUCAGAAAUGGCCAUAAUCAACAGAGCAGAUGGCUUGGGUUUGGAUACUUCUCCAGUAUUGAAGACCCCUCCCAAGCUGGAGGGGGAUGCUACUGAUGGCUCCUUUGCCAAUAAGCAUGGCCGCCAUGUCAUUGGCCACAUUGAUGACUACAGUGCCCUAAGACAGCAAAUUGUGGAGGGCAAGCUGCUGGUCAAAAAGAUAGUGUCUCUUGUGAGAUCAGCAUGCAGCUUCCCUGGCCUUGAAGCCCAAGGCACAGAGGUGCUAGGCAGCAAAGGCAUUCAUGAGCUUCAGAGCAGCACCAGUGCCCUGCACCAUGCCCUAGAGGAGUCGGCUUCCCUUCUCAGCAUGUUCUGGAGAGCGGCCCUGCCAAG